rnacentral:rRNA from 1 species
GAUGAACGCUGGCGGCGUGCAUAACACAUGCAAGUCGAACGGAAAGGCCCUGAUUUUUUGGGGUGCAUGAGUGGCGAACGGGUGAGUACCGAGUGAGUAAUCUGCCCUUGGUAUUGGGAUAUCUACAGGAAACUGGGGCUAGUACCGGAUAGGAGAUCCUGCUGCAUGGUAGGGGUUGGAAAGUUUCGGCGGUUGGGGAUGGACUGGCGGCUUAUCAGCUUGUGUGUGGGGGAGUGGCUUACCAAGGCAUAGACGACGAGCAGGCCUAAGAGGGUGAGCGGGCACGUUGGGACUGAGAUUCGGCCCAGGCCCCGACUGGAGCGAGCAGUGGCGAAUAGUGAUCAAGGGGCGUGAGCCAAAUGCAGCAACGCCGCGGGCGGGAGGACGGCCUUCGGUUUGUAAACCGCUUUCGCCUGGUACGAAGCGUGAGUGACAGUGAUAGGUAAAGAAGGACCGGCUAAUUACGUG